CCUUCGGGAAACCGGUAGAGUGGCGCACGGGUGAGUAACACGUAGGUUAUCUACCUCCGAGUGGGGAAUAACAUCGGGAAACCGAUGCUAAUACCGCAUAAUACCGAAAGGUCAAAGCUUUAGUGCUUGGAGAGGAGCCUGCGGCAGAUUAGCUAGUUGGUAAGGUAAUGGCUUACCAAGGCGACGAUCUGUAUCCGGUCUAAGAGGACGGUCGGACACACUGACACUGAAUAACGGGUCAG
rnacentral:rRNA from 1 species